rnacentral:rRNA from 1 species
GGGUGAGUAACACGUGGGUAACCUGCCCAACAGAAGGCGAUAACACUUGGAAACAGGUGCUAAUACCGUAUAACACUAUUUUCCGCAUGGAAGAAAGUUGAAAGGCGCUUUUGCGUCACUGAUGGAUGGACCCGCGGUGCAUUAGCUAGUUGGUGAGGUAACGGCUCACCAAGGCCACGAUGCAUAGCCGACCUGAGAGGGUGAUCGGCCACACUGGGACUGAGACACGGCCCAGACUCCUACGGGAGGCAGCAGUAGGGAAUCUUCGGCAAUGGACGAAAGUCUGACCGAGCAACGCCGCGUGAGUGAAGAAGGUUUUCGGAUCGUAAAACUCUGUUGUUAGAGAAGAACAAGGAUGAGAGUAAAAUGUUCAUCCCUUGACGGUAUCUAACCAGAAAGCCACGGCUAACUACGUGCCAGCAGCCGCGGUAAUACGUAGGUGGCAAGCGUUGUCCGGAUUUAUUGGGCGUAAAGCGAGCGCAGGCGGUUCCUUAAGUCUGAUGUGAAAGCCCCCGGCUCAACCGGGGAGGGUCAUUGGAAACUGGGAGACUUGAGUGCAGAAGAGGAGAGUGGAAUUCCAUGUGUAGCGGUGAAAUGCGUAGAUAUAUGGAGGAACACCAGUGGCGAAGGCGGCUCUCUGGUCUGUAACUGACGCUGAGGCUCGAAAGCGUGGGGAGCGAACAGGAUUAGAUACCCUGGUAGUCCACGCCGUAAACGAUG